rnacentral:rRNA from 1 species
UUUUAAAUAGCCGCGUUAGUGCUAAGGUAGCAUAAUAAUUAGUUUUUUAAUUGGAAAAUGGAAUGAAUGAUUUUAUUAAAUUAUAUCUUAUUAAUUUAUAGUUCUUAAAUUUUUAUUUUUAGUUAAAAUACUAAAAUAUUCUACUUAGACAAAAAGACCCUAUGAAGCUGUAAAUAUUAUAAUUUUUUACUAUGUGGAAAUAUAUUUAUUUUUUGGGGUAAAGAGUAAUAUAUUUAUUAUAAUUUAAUAUUUUUUAAUUUUAUCCUUUUGGA